CCUACGGGAGGCAGCAGUAGGGAAUAUUGCUCAAUGGGGGAAACCCUGAAGCAGCAACGCCGCGUGGAGGAUGAAGGUUCUCGGAUUGUAAACUCCUUUUGUUAGAGAAGAUAAUGACGGUAUCUAACGAAUAAGCACCGGCUAAAUCCGUGCCAGCAGCCGCGGGAAUACGGCGGGUGCAAGCGUUACUCGGAAUCACUGGGCGUAAAGGGGGCGUAGGCGGGAUAGCAAGUCAGAUGUGAAAUCCUAUGGCUUAACCAUAGAACUGCAGUUGAAACUGUGAUUCUAGAGUAUGGGAGAGGUAGGUGGAAUGCGUGGUGUAGGGGUAAAAUCCGUAGAGAUCAAGCGGAAUACUCAUUGCGAAGGCGACCUGCUAGAACCUAACUGACGCUGAGGCGCGAAAGCGUGGGGAGCAAACAGGAUUAGAUACCCCUGUAGUC
rnacentral:rRNA from 1 species